ACGGCACAACGCCGAUCGUGUGGCCUAUGAACGAAAAACGGGAGAAGGGGAAACCGAUAUCCUUCGAGUGACACACACGCAUGCAUCUGCAUGCGUAUUCCGCUGAACCGAGACUACACAUCUCUCUCGAUCUCCCAUGAUUUUUCUGCUAUCGCGCUCAUCCGGGUGUUAGGCAUCCUCAGUCUGUCCAGAACUUUCACUGUGGAAGGAUGUGUUGGAGUGAUGUGUGAUUUCUUGUGCCCCGUACUUUGCUCGUUUACGUUUUGUGCCGUGUUCCUUCUUCUUCAAUUAUGGAAUGAUUUAUCCUUGUAAAUUUCUAAGUUACAGUGCACGCGCAUGUUAAUCGACGGUUGCCAACAUCCAGCAAAACGAUCGACAGAAGGAAAACGGUGUCCGGUUUUAAAAUAUAAAGAUUUCAUUACAGCUCUUUCGUAGAAGAGCGCACUUCAAGGACGCCUAGGAUACGGCUAAACAUGCGCAGCACCAGUCCGUGACGUCAUUUCCAGACAGGCGCCGGCUGAACACGCGCAGCACCAGUCGAGGAUGUCCUAGCGCAGAGGGUAGAAGGAAGAACGAGAGGAAGGGUAACAGAAAGCAACCGCAGCAUUUGGAAGGGGUGAAGCAUCCUGCCGUAUACAGAGUGUGAGUGUGCCAAAACGCAUGUGGAAAGAGGAGGUCCAAUAAAUAGCAUGCGAAAGUGUGCAUAAAGCAAAAAGAAAAAGCGUCACUACUACAACCAGCAAUCCGAAAAUAUAAGGGGAGGGAUAAAUACAAAUGUAUGCGUAAGCAGGACCAGCAAUCCAAGCAUUUGAAUGUGUGCGUCGGUUUGUGCCGUGCUGAAAGUUUUUACUUUAGCUGCUGCUAGUGUAAAAACUUAAGGAAAGCUUAAAGUAAAAAUUUUUUACACGGGGCGCCUUCGGAAAUUGUUGGCUGGGUACUGAUCUAUCGGGUCGACUCCAACUCGCUGCACCCUCGGGUCAAACUGAACUUACCGUGACCCGACUCGACCCGAACUCGCCGCACCAACGGGUCAGAGUCGCUUAUGAUUUCUGAAAUGAAUAAUAUGACCCAACACUAGUCUAUAACAAAUGCAUAAAGUGUUAAGUUCUUUCCGUAGGGUUGACAUUAUACUUUACGGUGCACUACGGGGUUUCCAAUUGUCCAGUAGUGCACUUUAAUUGGUUAUAAGAAUAGCGCUAUUCCAUGGGUCGACAAACGGUGUUGUUGUUGUAAAUUAUUGCGGAAGGCUCCUGGCUGAUCCUGGAUGCUUUGUUUGCAGCAAAUCGGCCCAUCAAAUCAAAGAGCAACUCUCUCCGUUGAGCAUUCUUGGCCGCAUCGCAAAAAGCACUGAGAGCAACCGGUCCAGCACAGACUGCAGAGAACGUUGAGAGUAGCCGGUUGACAUCGGAUCGAUAAGAACGUUGAUAGCAGUGGGUUCAUGUCGGAUCGCAAAUAACGAUGGGAGAAAUAGGUUCAGUUUGAACCUGGUUAGGUUAAAAAUAGGGAUCGAAUUUACGAAUUGCUGGUUGCAGUAGUGACGCUAUUUCCUUAGCUUUAUACACACUUUCGUAUGCUAUUUAUUGGACUUCCUCUUUCCUUCACUGUUUCCAAAUAUUGCGGUAACUUUCCGUUACCCUUUUUCUCUCGUUCCUUCUUCCACCCACUGCGCUAGAAUAUCCUCGCCUGAUGCUGCGCAUGUUCAGACGGCGCCUGUCUAGAAAUGAACUUGCCUGUCUUGAAGUGCGCUCUUCUACGAAAAAGCUGUGUUGAAAUCUGUUGAUGAAAAUUAACCAAUAAUUAAUCCAUGUGUUAAAAAAAACAUCUAAACAAUAUUUUGCACAUAGGAUAAUAGCAACGCUUACCUUAACA